UGACCCGGCCAAAGCCGUGGGGAAGGAGAGAGGCAGAGAAGAUGGCAACCAGCCAAGGAAAUAUUGCUGCUCAACAGAGAGGACUGCGAGUUGGCCAGCGGCUGUCUCCCCCAGGAUAAGAUGAUGCAUAAUCAACGCCCUGCUGUGGUUCACAGCCAUCACAUUGCAACUGCUCCUCCUGCGGCA